GCGAUCAUCGGACGGUCAAGAUCGUUUAGUGAGAAUUUUGAGCUUUUUUUUAUUUUUAAAAAUUAAAAAUAAUUUUAUGAUAAUUAUUAAUAAUUUUUUGGUAUAAUUUAGGUACGAUCGGAUCGAUAAUAGUUCAUUAGCGUCAUGGCUGCAUUUUUCGGUCAGAUCUGACUGUCUGACGGCCUGUCUUGAAACAUGAUCGAUAUUAUAGUCAAUCCUAACAUUUUCAGACGUUCUGGACACGAUGCAGGUGUCAGAUUUUACAUAGUCUGUCACUUUGCCAGAGAUCCAACAGACAGAGGUAGGAGAAAUUGAGCAAUCCAUCAAUUUCUCCAAUACAAACACCACAAUUGGUUUUCAACGCCAUAAUUUUUCCUUCUAUGUAUAGUUUUAGAAUGACAUGUAUACUCUCACUUAAAAAAAAAAAAAAAAACAUAUACUUUCAUAACGCAUAGUCAAAUAAAUUGAAAGAAGUAUUAUCUAGGGUGUUAUCCAUUUUGCUUGAUGGGGAUGUGUUUGAUAAAUGUACGCAAUUAACUCAUAAAUCAUGAAGCUAUCAAGGGUCUUUAAUCCUUA